rnacentral:rRNA from 1 species
UACAGAGGUGGCAAGCGUUGUUCGGAAUUACUGGGCGUAAAGGGCGCGUAGGCGGCCUUCUAAGUCAGACGUGAAAUCCCCCGGCUUAACCUGGGAACUGCGUCUGAUACUGGAAGGCUUGAGUGCGGGAGAGGGAUGUGGAAUUCCAGGUGUAGCGGUGAAAUGCGUAGAUAUCUGGAGGAACACCGGUGGCGAAGGCGGCAUCCUGGACCGACACUGACGCUGAGGCGCGAAGGCGUGGGGAGCGAACGGG